UUCGUUUAAUUGUUUAAAAUGUUCGGUUCUGAAGUUUGCAAUUAAUUUAGUUCAUUAAAUAGUUUUAUCUGUUAAUAUUUUUGAUCAGACUGUGUCAAAUAAUUAGUUUUGUUAAUAGGAAACAUGUUUGUUUUAGCUGUUGAAUUAAUUUGUUGUUAAUAACUCUGUGGUAUCGAAUGUCACUGAAAUAUGAACUGUUGUAAAAAUCCACUUAGUUUUCAUUAUUUUGUUUUGCUGAUCUUUCUUUUUAAUUUGUCACAAAAAAAGGUGUAUACUAGGGGUCAAGGAACGGGAACAUGUGGAGUUUAGGAGAGCUUUGCAAUAAUGUAAAAUGAUUCACGCAACUGAAGUCCAAUGUCAUUCUCGAUUUGAUAAAACCAAAACAAUGACGGAGAUUUAAAUGUUAAAUUUUUAUGCCCCCAUUUCGAAGAAAAGGGGGUAUAUAGUUUUCGCACUGUCCGUCGGUCGGUCGGUUGGUUGGUCGGUCACACUUCGUGUCCGCUCUCUAAUUCAAAUAGUUUUCAUCCGAUCUUUACCAAACUUGGUCAGAAGUUGUAUCCAGACAAUAUCUAGGUCAAGUUCGAAUAUGGGUCAUGCCGGGUCAAAAACUAGGUCACUGGGUCACUUAGUGCAUUUCAAGGAUUUAGCAUGGUGUCCGCUCUCUAAUUGAAGUAGUUUUCAUCUGAUCUUUACUAAACUUGGUAAGAAGUUGUAUCAAGACAAUAUCUAGGUCAAGUUCGAAUAUGGGUCAUGCCGGGUCAAAAACUAGGUCACGGGGUCACUUAGUGCAUUUCAAGGAUUAAGCAUGUUGUCCGCUCUCUAGUUUAUGUGGCUUUCUGAUUUAUUUUGAUAUUCUAAGACAUUUUUAUGCCCCCAAAGGAGGGCAUAUAGUGAUCGGACUGUCCGUUCGUCUGUCCGUCCGUCUGUCCUUCACACUUUGUGUUUAGAUUUCGAAAAAUGCUCAUAACUUCUAUGUCGCUUCUGAUAGCAAUUUCAUAUUUGGCAUGCAUGUGUAUAUGGACAAGGUCUUUCCAUACGCACACAAAAUUUGACCCCUGUGACCUUGACCUUGAACUUAGGGUCAGUGUUUAGGUUCCAAAUCUGCGUUUA